GAGGUGGGACACCAAGACAAUUGCGGUUCGUGGGAAGGACAUGAUAUUGCGGAGCAUCGACUGGUAUCCGAUUCUAAUUAAAAUUGAACUUUUAUUUAGUUUAUUUUAUUUUAGGGUUAUAUAAUUUGAAUUUGAGUGAUUUUAUUUUUUUAUUUUAUUUAGUUUUUAUAAAAAAAACUGUGUUUAUUCUAUAUAGGAACCCCAAUUUAGGCGACACUACAUUUUGG
rnacentral:lncRNA from 1 species